UCCUUCUCUUGGACACACCUUUAAAAAGUAGGAAAAAUCUUUAUGAAAGCCCAAAUAAGUGUUUUCCUAGCUCAGAAAAUAGGUGACCUCAAUCCGGCCCCGUCUGCUGCCUUGCCCAAGAAACUCAGUCCCUGUUUGCCCUAUUUUAAUGCAAAAUGCAGUUUUGGACACAAGUUGCCCCCAGUGGGGAGAGGGCGAGGCAAGUGCCCUCACCAUCCAGUCUCAUCUUGGCCUUUGCUGAAAUUGGCCCAGGUUCAGCGUCUACACUGAUGCCACACGCCUCCUGUAGCCUGGGCUCCUGGACCUCCCUGGGUUCCCAGGCAGUCCUGGGCUGGAGGCACAGUGAACACACACGGCUUCCCAGCAAGCUUCCCCCACCCUGCCCCAAGGCCAGGCCUUCCUCUUCCUCUGCUUUCUCAUCAGCCGGGAGCCGGGGGAGGAUGGGAGGUCCCCACCUCUCCCCUCCACGGCAGACUGUGGGUCCGGAGCCCCGCAGGACUUGGCCCCUGCUUUGUAUCUGCCCUCCCAGAGGAGGAGAGUUUGCAGGGGCCAGUUUUGAGAUUAUUUGGAGCUGGUGAUCAGUGAGGUGUCUUUAAGCUGGUGGAGCCAGCUGUGCUGACUUAGUCAGCUGGCCUGGAUAAAUGCCAUCCCGGCUUUCCUUUUGUUCACUUAAGGAAAAUAAUGUCAGAGUGCAGGACGGGCCCCCGGCGGGAGAGCUGACACCGUGGAGACGAUUCAUUAGCAGAUGCUCCGCUGAACCUCAGCUGUUCUCUCCAGUGACAUCGGUGCGACAGGGAGCUAUUUGUUCAGCUUCUGAAGGGCAAAAGACCCAGCUUGUUCUCUCUGCAGCUAGAUGAGCUGAACUGGCUGCAGGAAAACAGCCGGCAUUUGUCAGUGAGCUGCACCGACAAGAUACAGAAGACAGAGCCCAAGCAGAGGAGGGCAGCUCAGGAGCAAACAGUGCCAAGCACCGUCGAGUAAUUCUUUGCAAACUCGAUGGCAAUCAACGCCACCCAAGGGCACCGGAUGAGCCCGUAGAAACCUCUUGCAUUUUUGGCUGAAUGUGGCUGUGGACUGGCGUUUGGGGAGAAUAUCUGUUGUUUCCAGGCAGGCCAGACUGCCGAAUACAAAAGUGACUCUUUUGAUAUUGAUAAAUAACGUGACUCAGGAUUCCCCCCCCCCCCCCCCAUAGAAAUUGUGCGAACCCUUAAUUAUCAGGGCACUUUCUCAGGGGCACAUUAGAAUAUACACUGAAUUGCGUUAUCUUCACCUUGGCCCACGCCUCUGUAACGCAGGGCGGUAAGUUGCUCUCAGAAGUUUUUGCUUUUGUUUAUAAAUCAUCAGUUCAGACUGCAGGAAGGUUUCCAGGAAUUAGGAAGAGAAAAAGCCUAGCAAAAAAUACACAGAGUGAGAUUCCUAAAGUAGGUUCCCCACCCCACCCCCCCAGCCCCCCUUCUGGCGAACGGGUCACAAGAUUGCAAUUCUAAACAAUCUCACAAUUAAUUCUUGAGCUAUGCAGCCCAAUUAGAACAAAUGCUUUCUUUCUGGUUUAAUUAGAGAUGAGUACGCGCCUGUGAGCUUAUUUGUAUAAAAUAAGCACUCAUUAAACCAGGUUUGGAUCAGGCUCAGCUUGUUAGAAAUGCCCUUGAAAAGGGUGCUUUCUCUCACCGUCUCUGGCCCUUUUAACCCCUUCAAUGCCCAGAAUGAACUUCGUAGACGUGGACGGUAUAAAGAGUAUCUUUGUGGCAACCUGGUGAGCUUGAAAGAGGAGAGAUGCGUUUGCUAGAUUUGCUGGUAAAGAGGCCCUUCCUCUCACCUCUGUACACUUGGCAUCUUCCUAACCUGCCUCACCCACCGCAGGCGGGAAAUCUGGUUGCGUCUGACGAAGGUCACUCAGCUGUAGCAAGAACAGGCUUCCAUGUUCUUCCAUGACGUGCGCUCUUGAACGUCUCACUAUCCAGAGUGUGAGCCAUGGGCCAGCAGCAGCUCUCAGGUUCACCCCAGACUUGUGAGAAUCUGCAUUCUUACAACAUCCCCAGGUGAUUUUGUGUACACAUUAAAAUUUGAGGAACACACUGGUCUAGAGGUAGCAAAUGGUGAAGAUUUUACUUGAAAAGACAAAGGUCCCUUGGGAGCCCCCAAGAAUGUCACUUCCAUUGAAGAGAACCAGCCCCUGGCCCUUUCUCUACAGUGGGGGGUGGGGGGGGCGGGGAAUGCCACUUUGACCCCCUGUAAACUUUCUACCAAAGUCUCAAAUAUGUCCCUUCCUGUAUCCUUUAGUGAGCUCCUCUGACUGACAGGCUCUGGGUUAUGAGGCAGUUCCUCUCCCUGUCUGUGCCUUGGCCUCUUACCCACCCCCUUCAGCACUGCUGGGUCUCUGGCCACAGGGAGAGAGAGAAUUCCUGUCCUCAAGAGGCUCCCGCUGUCAUGGACCAAAGCUGGAGGGAGAAUAUGCGUGGGAACAGUCAUGGGACCCCCAGGCCCAAAGUGAGAUACAUUGGUCACUAGAUCUAAUGUUGGAAAGGCCAUACAACCCGGAAGGAGGGAGCCCUUGUCUCCAAGGAGGAGGCUCCAUUAUGUAGUAUCCCGACAUGUGCCAAGAGGCAACUUUCAAGACUGUUCUGCAUUAUCGUCAAGGGCAUCCUCAGGCAGCAGCUACAAGUAUGACCAGUUUCUGGGUGAUGGUAAGACACUGGGAAAGUGUGGCUUCACUUUCAGUCAGACAGCAUGGCUGCAGGCUCCAGCCACUGUGAGGCUGGCCUUCCAGAAUGAUGAAGCUUUCUAGGUCUUGUGCCUUGAGUCCUUGUCUAGCUCACCUGAGGCAUCUGACAUGAUGAAGCCACAGGACUUAGGAAGCAGCGUCAAUGAACUAGCCGUGCAGUGAGGGGUCCCGGUGCUCCCCCACCACCCCCAAUAAAAGAGUUUUGGGUGUCAAAAAAAAAAGAACGUCAUGAAUUAUAAAAAACUUGCCAAGCACAUAAAUGCCACCUCUGCUCAGCAAGAGUUUGUCCAUUUUUUUUUUCUCAUUUAUUUCAUCAGCAAGUAAAACUUGGGUAUAACAAGAUGGCAGCAUGAGGCAAGUUACCGACAAGGCCGAGGACUCCUUUGCUCCCUCAUGUCGUUCAGCCCUGGACUUUCUUCAAAGAGCCUGGAGCAAGAAGAUAUUGAUAUGUCCUUGCUUCACCACAUGGUGCCAGAAAGAGGGUUGAGCUAUAGGUAUAGCAGGUUUUAAAUUUCUCUCCUUCCGUCCUAGACACGGAGGCUAUUGUCACUGUUGAUUAGGGGACAAUGAAGGAGAUCGGAUUAGCAGUGCAAGUGGAGGAGGGACAUGGAAAGAAUCCCAAGCAAGCUCUGUGCUGCCAGCGUGGAGCCUGAGGCGAGGCUCCCUCCCAGAAACCGUGAAAUACGACCUGAGCCCAAAUGGAGACUCGGGUACUGCUCUCUCUCUGCCCCUCCCCAGCUCACGCUCUCCCUCUCUCCCUCGCAAAAUCAAUAAAUGAACUUUAAGCGUAAAAUAAAA